rnacentral:rRNA from 1 species
AACGAACGCUGGCGGCAUGCCUAACACAUGCAAGUCGAACGGGAUCCAUCCUUCGGGGUGGUGAGAGUGGCGGACGGGUGAGUAACGCGUGGGAACCUGCCCAGUGGUGGGGGAUAACUGCGGGAAACUGCAGCUAAUACCGCAUGAGCCCGAGAGGGGAAAGAUUUAUCGCCAUUGGAGGGGCCCGCGUUCGAUUAGGUAGUUGGUGGGGUAAUGGCCUACCAAGCCGACGAUCGAUAGCUGGUCUGAGAGGAUGAUCAGCCACACUGGGACUGAGAUACGGCCCAGACUCCUACGGGAGGCAGCAGUGGGGAAUAUUGGACAAUGGGGGCAACCCUGAUCCAGCAAUGCCGCGUGAGUGAUGAAGGCCUUAGGGUUGUAAAGCUCUUUUGCCAGGGACGAUGAUGACGGUACCUGGAGAAUAAGCCCCGGCCAACUUCGUGCCAGCAGCCGCGGUAAUACGAAGGGGGCAAGCGUUGUUCGGAAUUACUGGGCGUAAAGGGCGC